CAGCCAUGCCGCGUGUGUGAAGAAGGCCACGGGUUGUAAAGCACUUUCAGCGAGGAGGAAAGGUUGGCGCCUAAUACGCGUCAACUGUGACGUUACUCGCAGAAGAAGCACCGGCUAACUCCGUGCCAGCAGCCGCGGUAAUACGGAGGGUGCAAGCGUUAAUCGGAAUUACUGGGCGUAAAGCGCACGCAGGCGGUUGGAUAAGUUAGAUGUGAAAGCCCCGGGCUCAACCUGGGAAUUGCAUUUAAAACUGUCCAGCUAGAGUCUUGUAGAGGGGGGUAGAACUCCAGGUGUAGCGGUGAAAUGCGUAGAGAUCUGGAGGAAUGCCGGUGGCGAAGGCGGCCCCCAGGACAAAGACUGACGCUCAGGUGCGAAAGCGUGGGGAGCAAACAGGACUAGAUACCCUGGUAGUCCACGCCGUAAACGAUGUCGAUUUGGAGGCCGUGUCCUUGAGACGUGGCUUCCGGAGCUAACGCGUUAAAUCGACCGCCUGGGGAGUACGGCCGCAAGGUUAAAACUCAAAUGAAUUGACGGGGGCCCGCACAAGCGGUGGAGCACGUGGUUUAACUCGAUGCAACGCGAAGAACCUUACCUGGCCUUGACAUGUCUGGAAUCCUGCAGAGAU
rnacentral:rRNA from 1 species